GACGAACGCUGGCGGCGUGCUUAACACAUGCAAGUCGAACGGUGAGGCCCUGCUUUUGUGGGUUGCUGGAGUGGCGAACGGGUGAGUAACACAUGAGUAACCUGCCCAUGACUUUUGGGUAACUUCAUGAAACUGGGGCUAAUACCGGGUAGGAUCUCCUGCUGCAUGGUUGUGGUUGGAAAGUGUCGGCGGUUGGGGAUGGACGCGCGGCUUAUCAUAUGGUUGGUGGGGUGGUGGCUUACCAAGGCUUCGACGGGUAGUCGGCCUGAGAGGGUGACCGGGCACCUUGGGACUGAGAUACGGACGAGACUCCUACGGGAGGCAGCAGUGGGGAAUAUUGCACAAUGGGCGGACGCCGGAUGAAGCAACGCCGCGUGCGGGAUGACGGCCUUCGGGUUGUGAACAGAUUUCGACUGUGACGAUGCGUGAAUGACGGUAAUGGGUAAAGAAGCCACGGCUAACUACGUG
rnacentral:rRNA from 1 species